AGUCCUAUGGUCUAGCGGCCUAUGACGCUCAUAACUGUGAGAGUGCGUGUUCGAACCGCGCUAGGAUCG